rnacentral:rRNA from 1 species
AGCGAACGCUGGCGGCAAGCUCAACACAAGCAAGUCGAACGAUGUAGCAAUACAUAGUGGCGGACGGGUGCGUAACACGUGGGAAUCUGCCUUUAGGUAAGGAAUAACUCAGGGAAACUUGAGCUAAUACCUUAUAAUGUCUUCGGACCAAAAAUUUACUGCCUAAAGAUGAGCCCGCGGUAGAUUAGCUAGUUGGUGGGGUAAUGGCCUACCAAGGCAACGAUCUAUAGCUGGGCUUAGAGGAUGAUCAGCCACACUGGGACUGAGACACGGCCCAGACUCCUACGGGAGGCAGCAGUGGGGAAUAUUGGGCAAUGGACGAAAGUCUGACCCAGCUAUGCCGCGUGAAUGAUGAAGGCCUUAGGGUUGUAAAGUUCUUUUACCGGGGAAGAUAAUGACGGUACCCGGAGAAAAAGCUCCGGCUAACCUCGUGCCAGCCGCCGCAGUAA